UACAUGGGGUGCAAACGUUGCUCGGAAUUAUUGGGCGUAAAGCGCGCGUAGGCGGUUACUCAAGUCGGAUGUGAAAGCCCUCGGCUUAACUGAGGAAGUGCACCCGAAACUGAGUAGCUAGAGUACUAAAGAGGGUCGCGGAAUUCCCGGUGUAGAGGUGAAAUUCGUAGAUAUCAGGAGGAACACCCGUAGCGAAGGCGGCACUCUGGGCCGAUACUGACACUGAGGAGCGAAAGCGUGGGGAGCGAACAGG
rnacentral:rRNA from 1 species